GUUUUAAAACUGUUGAGGACUCCAGUCGAACUCACUUCCUUCAAGGCCACUUCAGCUCUUCGACUCGCUGCCCAGAAGAUCAAGUUCUCAAGAUUCAUAAAGUGGUGUUAAUGAGCAUGAGGUGAGGACUCCAUAUUUCCCUCUUGCUUUGCUGUACUGUUCGUGCUACGUGAUGGAACUGUGGCGUGCUCUUCAACUGCUUCGUUCUUCAGUCAUGAUAUGUUGCUUUUAAUUUUUGGGCCAAACCUCAAAGGAGAUUGUGAAAAACUACACUGAGGUCCUACCCCAACAAAGCCGUCAAUGGCCUCCUCGCCCAAUGUCUUCCGGCUAUUUCUCUCUCCUCACUUUGUCUCUCUAAAAUUUCAGAUUUAUUUCUGUAAUUUUUUCAUCUUGAAGUUUUUGGUUUUAUCUAUUUUGUUUCUGGGUAUUUGUCUCUGUCACUCUACAAAUUUGAGCAGCAAAGCACACAUCUUUGUGUUCUUCACUUCAGACGGUUCCGUAUUACAGGUACAUCCACUUUCUAUGUAUCUUUUUUUUUUUCUUUUCUGUAAAGUGAUUAGAGUUGUUACAGUUAUAAUUGUGUUAAAGUUUUAGUUAAGAUUGAAAUUAUUGAUUGCCCAGCUUUUGCUAUGUGGAAUUGGACAUGGGUUUUGUGUUAGAAGUCAAGAAUUUGUGUGCAAUAAUAGGGAUUGAGUUUCAAAGUUGUGUGCUUUGUGCAUCAAUUGGUGAAUUAAUUUGAUUGGUUCUGUUUUUUGGGAUUGAAAUUUGAAACAAAAUAUUCAUGCUUUUGUGGCGUAAGUAGGUGAAUGAAUUUGAUUGGUUUUGUGUGCCUACGCUGUUAAAGAAAAGCCGAAACAAAACGAAAC